UACGUAGGCAGCAAGCGUUGUUCGGAGUUACUGGGCGUAAAGGGUGCGUAGGCGGUCCUAUAAGUAUGGUGUGAAAUCUCCCGGCUUAACUGGGAGGGUGCGCUAUAGACUGUAGGGACUAGAGUGUGGGAGAGGAAAGUGGAAUUCCUGGUGUAGCGGUGAAAUGCGUAGAUAUCAGGAGGAACACCGGUGGUGUAAACGGCUUUCUGGACCAUAAACUGACGCUGAGGCACGAAAGCGUGGGUAGCAAACAGG
rnacentral:rRNA from 1 species